rnacentral:lncRNA from 1 species
CGUGCGUACACGUGGCCCGUGGGCAAGGUGGAGUGUAAAGAUAAAUGGUGUGGCGGGUCAUUUUCAAUCAAAAUAUGAGUAGUUCUUCGAGAAAGAAGACUAAGAGGGAGAUGACCGGGUAUUAUUUCUCUUUGAUGAACCUCAGGACGACAGGAAAGGCGGAGGAGAAAGAGAAGGAGAGAGAGGAGGGCUAAAAAGAACUAUCAUUAUUUAACUCUGUUACUUUUGUGGUCAGGUCUAUAUAAUCACUGCCAGUAACACUGUCAAAUAUUCAGGAUCAAUUGGUCUAUCACUAGUACUGUGGCUUAUUAGUAGUCUAGUAGCUGUAGCUAGAGGACUCUACAUUGAUACCUCUUUCAGGUGGGGUAUGCAUAUCUUAGAGAAAUGUAUUCUUUUCAUAGAAGAGGAGAAAGGGACAAGGAGGGACUUAGGGAUGAGGAGACAAGAUACAGAGAGGAUCAUAGAAUUAAGGAUGGGAAAAGUAGAUAGUUUUUUGUUGUAUUUGGUAACCUGCUUGGAUUUUUGUUCGGCUGGUUGACCAUUGUUUUAUUACGUCCAGCAUCUAAUGCCAUCCAGUUGUUAGCUUUUGGUAAGUAUUUCUCUUAUGCACUUUUGUUGGUUGGUGAAGUUAGGGGCGGAGCUACUAAUGGACUAGUGACAGUACUGGCUGUAAUAAGUGAAAUAAUAGCGACAUCAAUAAAUACAAUUUAUUCAGUUUAAAACUAACAGCUCACAUUAUAAAUAUCACUGGUAUUGCUAAAAUAUCAGCAAUGAUCUAGUUUAUUGGAAUAUGGACAUGCAUUAAAGGAGAUCAUUCCAAUAAUUCUGAUAACGUAUUUGAAGGUACUAGCACUUUUAUUGGUGACAUUAGUUUAGCUUUAUAUUCAGUACUGUGGACUUAUGAUGGAUGAAGGUCUACUCUUUCUCAAUCAAGGCUGACCAGUUUUCAAGCUUUAGAUGGCAAACACUCUCAAGUUAUAGAUGUAAUUACAAGACAAGGGGAAAGUACAAUGAAAAUUAUGAAAUUAUGUCUAUGUGUGCCAUAAGCAAACUGGAACUAGGAGUUAUAUAGGUGUGCUCCAGGUACUGGCUAUUUCACACUCAUUUUGUUCAAGUCAAAAUCCUCAUUGAGUCAAUCAAAACAGGAGCAAUCAUCCACGUAAAGAAAAGAAUAUCAUAAUAGCACUACUGAUUGUGAUUUGUGAUUAAGUUUACUCUUCCUGUACAUCACAAACUACUCAGCACUGUUUGGAUUGGGACUCCUUAUUGAAGCAACACUGUUUCUUGGGCUCAUCUUUACUCCUAAAAUGGCUCGCUUGUAUUACUGGUAUGAUCCCCAAGCAGAAAAUAUUUUCCCCAAAACACUACUGUUGUUUGAAAAACAAUAUUUUGAAAAAAGGAAUCAUCUAAAGAGAUUAUUUCAAAUUUCAAAAAAAAGAGUAAAGGAAUUUGAAAGACAGCUUAUGGAAAUAAAAUAAGACUCGCACUCAAAGACUUAUAAUUGUCACACAGUAGUCUAAUAUGUACAUGUAUGUAGAUAUUGUACAUGUCAACACAUUUUUUGCUUAGGUGCAACAUUAUGAAUAA